rnacentral:rRNA from 1 species
UACGGAGGGUGCGAGCGUUAUCCGGAUUCAUUGGGUUUAAAGGGUGCGUAGGUGGGUCUGUAAGUCAGUGGUGAAAUCUCCGGGCUUAACCUGGAAACUGCCAUUGAUACUAUAGGUCUUGAAUUUUCUGGAGGUAAGCGGAAUAUGUCAUGUAGCGGUGAAAUGCUUAGAUAUGACAUAGAACACCAAUUGCGAAGGCAGCUUGCUACAGGAAUAUUGACACUGAGGCACGAAAGCGUGGGGAUCAAACAGG